rnacentral:rRNA from 1 species
CCUACCUAUAAGACUGGGAUAACUUCGGGAAACCGGAGCUAAUACCGGAUAACAUAUUGAACCGCAUGGUUCAAUAGUGAAAGGCGGCUUUGCUGUCACUUAUAGAUGGAUCCGCGCCGUAUUAGCUAGUUGGUAAGGUAACGGCUUACCAAGGCAACGAUACGUAGCCGACCUGAGAGGGUGAUCGGCCACACUGGAACUGAGACACGGUCCAGACUCCUACGGGAGGCAGCAGUAGGGAAUCUUCCGCAAUGGGCGAAAGCCUGACGGAGCAACGCCGCGUGAGUGAUGAAGGUCUUCGGAUCGUAAAACUCUGUUAUCAGGGAAGAACAAAUGUGUAAGUAACUGUGCACAUCUUGACGGUACCUGAUCAGAAAGCCACGGCUAACUACGUGCCAGCAGCCGCGGUAAUACGUAGGUGGCAAGCGUUAUCCGGAAUUAUUGGGCGUAAAGCGCGCGUAGGCGGUUUUUUAAGUCUGAUGUGAAAGCCCACGGCUCAACCGUGGAGGGUCAUUGGAAACUGGAAAACUUGAGUGCAGAAGAGGAAAGUGGAAUUCCAUGUGUAGCGGUGAAAUGCGUAGAANNU